CCUACGGGAGACUGCAGUAGGGAAUCUUCCACAAUGGUCGCAAGCCUGAUGGAGCAACACCGCGUGAGUGAAGAAGGGUUUCGGCUCGUAAAGCUCUGUUUUUGGAGAAGAACGUGCUUGAGAGUAACUGUUCACGCAGUGACGGUAUCCAACCAGAAAGUCACGGCUAACUCCGUCCCAGCAGCCGCGGUAAUACGUAGGUGGCAAGCGUUAUCCGGAUUUAAUGGGCGUAAAGCGAGCGCAGGCGGUCGCUUAGGUCUGAUGUGAAAGCCUUCGGCUUAACCGAAGAAGGGCAUCGGAAACCGGGCGACUUGAGUGCAGAAGAGGAGAGUGGAACUCGAGGUGUAGCGGUGGAAUGCGUAGAUAUAUGGAAGAACACCAGUGGCGAAGGCGGCUGUCCGGUCUGCAACUGACGCUGAGGCUCGAAAGCAUGGGUAGCGAACAGGAUUAGAUACCCUAGUAGUC
rnacentral:rRNA from 1 species